rnacentral:rRNA from 1 species
UAGAGCUUGAUCAUGGCUCAGAUUGAACGCUGGCGGCAGGCCUAACACAUGCAAGUCGAGCGGUAGAGAGAAGCUUGCUUCUCUUGAGAGCGGCGGACGGGUGAGUAAUGCCUAGGAAUCUGCCUGGUAGUGGGGGAUAACGUUCGGAAACGGACGCUAAUACCGCAUACGUCCUACGGGAGAAAGCAGGGGACCUUCGGGCCUUGCGCUAUCAGAUGAGCCUAGGUCGGAUUAGCUAGUUGGUGAGGUAAUGGCUCACCAAGGCGACGAUCCGUAACUGGUCUGAGAGGAUGAUCAGUCACACUGGAACUGAGACACGGUCCAGACUCCUACGGGAGGCAGCAGUGGGGAAUAUUGGACAAUGGGCGAAAGCCUGAUCCAGCCAUGCCGCGUGUGUGAAGAAGGUCUUCGGAUUGUAAAGCACCUUUAAGUUGGGAGGAAGGGCAGUUACCUAAUACGUGAUUGUUUUGACGUACCGACAG